GUGGGUUGUGGCUCAGUGGUACAGCAUGCACUUAGCAUGCUUGUGGCCCUGGGUUCAAACCUAAGAACCAACA
rnacentral:tRNA from 1 species